CCCGGGAAUCCGCUUGCGCCGCGCGUCCCUUUGAUCCGGAGGCGGGGCGCAGUCACGAAGUCAGGCCUGAGUUCUGUUGGGAGAUCAUCGCAUCUCUCACGUUAAAGUUGCGAGAGUUGGCAUGUUUGCCUCAAUGGCGCUGCUUGGGAGGACGGAGUGAGCAGCCCAGGAUUUUCAGCCAUACGAUCAGUAGUGUUUGGUGGCAGUGGCAGUAAGAUGAUGGACCAUCACUUCCAGGGACCCAGCAGCCAAGCAUCAAAAGGCCUUUUCCACAACAUUGUCGCCUCUUCCGCUCUGGAGGGCCCACUCUAGAGGGGAUACUUGGGGUUGCAGCUCACAAUACACUUUCCAUAGAAGCACUCACCACCAUUUUUAGUUGCAGUUUGUCCAGGGGUGAAAGUAAGAUGGCCGGUACCGGCCCAUACCGCUGACUUUAAAGCACUGCUGCUGGGGGGUGCAAAAGGAGCAGCUGCCUCGGGGCUGGUGAUUUAAAAGGGCUGGGGCUCCGUCCGCUUCUGCUGCUACUACGGCAGCGGCCAGAGCCCUGGGCCCUUUAAAUCGCCACUGGAACCCCAAGUGGCUCAGGCGAGGCAACGCGGAUGGGCUGGCUGGGGGGGACACUGACGCCCCGGCCCCGCCCCUUCCACCCGAGGUCCUGCCCCUUCUGGGGGGGCCGGAGUCGCCCCCCGUACCAGUAAGAGCUCAGUUUUACUUUCACCCCUGAGUUUGUCCCAGGUCAUGGUUCAGCUAGGUGUUGACAACCCUCAAUCUUCACUUGGGUCAUUCACAAGUAACACACUAUGAUCUGAUCAGGUAGGGGAGGGGACAGGAUACAGGAAGGCCCAGUGCCUCUCCACCCUUACCUCCCACAUUUCCAGGCACCAAAGCACAGCUGGUUGCUGAUAUUACAGUGCUGAUUUCAUAGAAUCCUGGAAUAUCAGGGUUGGAAGGGACCUCAGGAGGUCAUCUAGUCCAACCCCCUGCUCAAAGCAGGAUCAAUCCCCAAUUUUUGCCCCAGAUCCCUAUGCGUGGUGCUCCAAUUUUAAAACCCUUUCCAGCAUGUGCCCAGACUUUUGUGUAAAGGAUCUGACUUCAAUCCACUGAAUUGGCUCUGAUGAGGAGAGUGAGUUUUUAAACAAUCUAAUAAGAUCAGCUUAUGCUCUAAUAUAUUAUGGAGGCCUGGACUAAAACUAUUGCCUCUCCUAUGACACUGCUUGACCAAAGGAAAGAGCUCCGCCUGCUGGAGAAACAUUUUGGGCUGUGUGUGUGUCUCUUUCUCUCUCACCCACCGUAAGUGAAAACACUUCACUGCUUUUUCAAAUGCUCUUUGGUACUGGAAAGUGACCAGCAUCAUGAUUCUGGUCCCAGUGAAAUCAAAGACAUGUUCAAAUGGUGAAUAUUUUAGAACCAGUCCUGCAGGUUGCUGAGCACCUUCUGUAAAGUGCUGAGGAACCUCAGCUCCCUUAAAGCCAGUGGUGAGCUGACAGUACUCAGUGCAUUGUAGGAUUAAGUUCUCAGGGCUUGAUCCAGAGCCCAUUAAAGUCAGCGUGAAGAUUCCUAUCAACUUGAAUGGACUUUGUGUCAGGCCCUUAAAGAGGGUCAUUUCUAAUCUCUACGGCCCAGACGCACAAAGAAAUGUAGACACCUAACUCCCACUGUAGGUGCCUAAAUCAAAAGUUUAGGUGCCACUGAGAGCCUCCAAACCCCUCCUAUGCUGCCACCUAACACAGGCACCUACACUUUGGCCAUGAGGGUCUCCCUGGCACCAAGUGUCUGUUACUGGGGAUACCCACAAGGCCCCACUCUAGGUGUCCAAGCUCCGGCAGGUAAAGAUAAGUGGGGCACUGCCUACCAGAUCAGGCCCCAUACCGAAUCCAGCCAGAGGAAUUACUGCCUCCCUUACACCAUAUUACCAAAUGGCCAGAGCACUCAGCUAGGACCUGGGAGUCCCAGGUUCAAUUUCUCCCUUUGCCCAAUGGAGAGAAAGACCCCUGUUCAAAUCGUUUCACCUUUCAGGAGAGUGCGCUAGGCACUGAGCUAUUGGAGUAGUCUGCUGUGUGUGGGGGGGAGCUCCAUCACUUUCUCCUGUUGAAGCUGUUCAACUUUGGCUAAAUAAUUAAAGAGUAAUUGGAACAGGGAGACUGGAACCCAGGUCUCCCAUCUCCUAGGAGAGUGCCCUGACCACCAGGCAAUGGACCCGCUCACUCAUGCCCCAUGAGGCCUAAGUACCUUUAUGGAUCUGGGCCUAGCUCACUAGUUCAUACUGGAUGUAGGUUGGCAGUAACUCAAGGCUUGUGUGAAUGAGCUGGUGGACUUCAGCUAAUUCAAAGUGGAUAGGUGUCUGUCAUAACUGACAUCCUUUUGGGCAAUCUUGGCAGAAAUGCCAAGUGUUCAAUAAUGCAUUGAUAAUAAUGCAUCGGAUGCAUCCGAUGAAGUGAGCUGUAGCUCACGAAAGCUUUUGCUCUAAUAAAUUUGUUAAUCCCGUGGAUAGUUUCCAGUGUUACAAAUUCAGCAACAAUUGUGUACUCUGACAGGUUUCAGAGUAACAGCCGUGUUAGUCUGUAUUUGCAAAAAGAAAAGGAGUACUUGUGGCACCUUAGAGACUAACCAAUUUAUUUGAGCUCAUGAAAGCUCAUGCUCAAAUAAACUGGUUAGUCUCUAAGGUGCCACAAGUACUCCUUUUCUUUUUAUGUACUCUGAGAUCAACAUUUCAAAAGUGGCCACUGAUUUUAGACACUUUGGUUUUUGGUAUUCAGUCUGAGACCCUUAAAUGUCACAAGUUGAAUACUCACACACUGAUGCACUCAAAAUCAGCCACUUUUGAAAAAUUUGUCCUAAAUUUACUUAAUAAAUAUAAGAGGAACAAAGUGGGGGAGAGGGGGAUUGUUUUAAAUUUUUCUUUAUAUCAGAAGUUUACACACUUAAAAAUAAUUUUCUUUGCUACUUUUGCUAGGUAUGGAUGAUAUUCAUUGUUUAAACACUGAUUUCACUCUCUCAAGCCAUCUGCUCCUCCUACUGGAUCCUGCCGUGUCAUAAUACUGCAUGUUAUAUCACCGGCAUUUCCUAGGCAACAGAGUGUGAUGGCAUAAAUACAGCAUUAUGAUUUCAUACGAAAAUGAGAAGCGAGAUGGGAAGAGGAGAAAACCUCUCGUUGCAGAUGUUGGCUUCACUAACACAGUACAAGCAAAUAAAAACAUGCAAAGGAUUUUUAAAAUA